rnacentral:rRNA from 1 species
AACGAACGCUGGCGGCAUGCCUAACACAUGCAAGUCGAACGAUUGCCUUCGGGUGAUAGUGGCGCACGGGUGCGUAACGCGUGGGAAUCUGCCCUUAGGUUCGGAAUAACAGCUGGAAACGGCUGCUAAUACCGGAUGAUAUCGCGAGAUCAAAGAUUUAUAGCCUGAGGAUGAGCCCGCGUUGGAUUAGGUAGUUGGUGGGGUAAAGGCCUACCAAGCCGACGAUCCAUAGCUGGUCUGAGAGGAUGAUCAGCCACACUGGGACUGAGACACGGCCCAGACUCCUACGGGAGGCAGCAGUGGGGAAUAUUGGACAAGGGGCGCAAGCCUGAUCCAGCAAUGCCGGGUGAGUGAUGAAGGCCCUAGGGUUGUAAAGCUCUUUUACCCGGGAAGAUAAUGACUGUACCGGGAGAAUAAGCCCCGGCUAACUCCGUG